GGGCGCUGUGUGUUGGAGGCGGGGCUGGCCCCAGCGGGAAGCUCAAAACGUGCCCUGAGAGAUGGAAGAGGCCCGAGCUCCUUGCGGUUAAAAGGAUAAAUUGUCCCUACAGUUUAUGGACAAUUGUGUGCCACUUAAAGACAGCGUGCUUCAAAAAUAAAGACAACACCCAACUUUCUGACCCUCUCCUGAACUUUGGCAUUUGUUUAUCCAAAUAACAUAUUGGCUCAUUAGAAUCAGCCUUUUCCCUCUGCUUGUACGGUGACUCCAAGCCGCCCGCCAUCCAAAUGAUCGACAGUUGUCUUUUUCGUCUGCCCAGCCACCUCCAAACAUCACGGCACCAAGGGUCAUCCUCCUCCCUUUACUGUCACUUCACAGAGAGAAUAGCAGGAUUCUUAACCAUCGGCCAAAAUGCUCUUUUUUGGGAACUGUUGCCUUUGUGGCUGACAAAUUCAGGAAGUCUGGAGCAAGAAAUCGUGGAGGAGGGCAGGGCGGGAGGGUCCCCAAUCCAACGAGAGUCUGGGUGGUCUAGAACAUUCACCACUCGGGGAAAAUGCAAGUCUCACUGCCAUGCUGGCUGCUACUCUGGGAGAAGUGUCUCUGGAGGAGGCAUCAGGAACAAAAGGAACCUCCUCUCUGGCAUCAUUGCUCAGAUCACACAACUGCAGCCUGGAUCGCUCUUUCUAUUUACUCACUCUUGGGGCACACUGGGUUGCUGUCAGGGCAUGCCCCUGUGCUGGGGUGGCCAGGGUGGGAAGGGGCUCGUGCCGGCCACACAUUGUGCCUCUAUCCAGUCUUUCCCCAGAACAACCUCAACGCCAGUGUUGGGCUCAGCACCAACCACCAACCAAUCUUGCACAACCUUGCCAUGGCCAAGCAGAACAUUGGUGGGGCUCCGCAGUGGGAGUGUUGGAGAGGCUGCCCCUCCGCAUCCUGCACAUCUGACCAUGCAGUGAAUAAAUACCAAGAAAAAAGGGGGAUGCUUUAUCCAUUUAUCUUUUAAAUAUCACCAACUCCAAGUUUUUUGUCACACUGUGGUGUCAACAAAUCUAUUUUGUUGUCUCUCUUUACUUCUCAAAGCAGAGA